rnacentral:tRNA from 1 species
GCACUCGUAGCUCAAUGGAUAGAGCAUCACGCUUCGGACGUGGUGGUUGUGGGUUCGACUCCCGCCGAGUGCGCCA